CUUUCCCAGUAAUGCCGGGCACUGUGAAUAAUACAGCUGAAUCUAAACAGAACAGCUGUCUUUUGAAGGAAAUUAUCAGUAAAUUAUUCCAGAACAGAAACCAACAAUAUGUUUAUUGAUUAUUAGUUUCUGUUCACCUCACCACAAAAAUGACAACAGGUGGAUGUGUGAAGUGAAGCAAUGAAAUCAGAUGAGCCCUGAUCUGUCUCCUCUUCGGUCCAUUGCCUCUCUGGAAAAAAACCUUCUGGACAAACACGCACCAAGAGAGCAGACAAAGCCAGAUGUUGUCACAGGGAAACUUCAGCCUGACCUCUAAUUUAUUUAUUUCUUUUCCUACUUGGCGGGGAUCCAUUGGAGGGAGGAGAAGGAGCAGAUACUCACCUGGAAAAGAUCACUCCUCUGAAGCGCAGACAGAGAGCGGACCGUCGCUCACAAUAACCGGCUCUGUGGCUCUGGCUUAUCUCAUCUCGGCGGAUCCCCCCCCCCGUGCCGACCCGUACCGGCUGUUCCUCCCCCCGGUAUCAUCUGAAUCACACAUGCACACAGCACUGUGUGUGUGAGAGAGAGCGAUGCAGUCAUCUUUUCACUUUCUUUGCUUCCGCGGACCCGUAUCUCUCACAUCUUCUUUUUUUCCCCUGGAUCUUUGUUUCUGGACGGCGGGCUGCGCCUGCCAGCACCAGCAGCAGUAGAUGUGUUGAGCGACACAGCUAAUAGCAGUAUCUUUCAACAGUGACCACAGCCUGAUCCUGAAAUCCCUACAUUCAUGAGAAGGCAACAGGAAGCAGAUUACUGAAGGAUUAAACACUUGCACAUACACGCACACACGGAGUACAACGGCUCCAGGUUUUGACCACUGUUCAAAUGCGGAUCUCACUCUGAAUCAACUUGUCUGACUGACUGAGACUCUCUGGUAUUAUGGAAGAAGAGGAGGAGCCAACAGAGUCUCUCUGAAUGUAACUCACAUAACCCCACCUCCUCUUUCCUGCCUCAUUAUCCAGGGCUUUGACUGGUCGUUGAGGAUUAUAAGAAACACAGCAGAGCGUGCAGAGACAGAGGGGCGUAGAGCCGAUUGUCCACCUGCUGCUGCCCCACGAUGCAUCCACACAUCUAAGAGCAGGAUCAGCCUCACAGAGGGCUGUUUCUAUGGAUACCCCUGCCCCGGGUUGUAUUCAUAAGACUCACUGAUAUUCUGACUAUCUGCACAUGAAGAAAAUACAGUGACGGAUUAGAAGUGCAUCCUUGGAGCAGGCUACGGCGUUCUUUGGAGGCAGAGAAAGACAUCAAGUGUCAAGAGGAAACUAUUGAAGGGAAAACCAUUUUUUCCUAAACAUAUUGUACUGUAGAUGUUUUGCCAACAAAACCAGUAGCUGCAGUAUGAAAAAAAAAAUCUAAAACCAUAUUUUAGAUUUUUUUUUUUGUCUCACUUGGUUUCAUUCAUUUCAAUCCUUUUUGACAUCCCGUUUAUUGUACCUUGUCCAAGGUUGUGUUCAAGAGAACAUGAACAACAGCCAGUUCAGUAAAAGAUUGAUUUGAUAAGAAUCUGCCCACACAGUACCAGAAGAGGAGGUGAAAAUGAUGCACAAAGACACUUCUCUGGCCUCAAGGAAAAUAGCUACAUUUCUAACCUGCUUGCAAUACUGAGCACAGCUCAAAAUUCUGAGCUCCAAUUCCAGAUAAAAUUAUUCCCCCUUGUGGAGCUCCUCUCACCGGACUAAUUGUGGUAUUGAAUGUGAGUGUUGUCUACGUGAGUAUAAAAAGUAGUUAAGGUUCUGUACUCACCAACAAGAUGUAACAUUAAGUGCAUGAGAUAAUAAAAAAGCGCUUUUAAUCUACUUGGAAUCUGUCACCAGCCCCCAACACCUCCACACUGAGCCAUU